CAGUGUAGUGCAGCGCGCGCGCGUGUGUGCGGGUAUCCAGAUGGAUAUUAUGGGAUACACGUGCUUCAGCACUCUCUGGAUAUCACAUGAGGAUGAUGCCGACUGCGCUCUAUGGAGAUGAGCAGGACUCAGUCUCGUGGAUUAUUUCACACACGCGGAUUAACCUCACCAUCACCUCCACAUGUGGAUUACACUCACCCCGCAGCCGGAGGACACACGGAGGAUCUGGUGUGAUGGAGGAUCUCUGGCUGAACACAGAUGAGUCUAGAGGUGGUGCAGUGUGUGUGUGAGAGGUGUGUGUCUGUGGACACUGACGGACACUGAGGAUUGAUCAGAGAUAUCUGGAGGAGCUCACUGGACGUGUGACUGAUGUGUCGUGUGUGUGUGUGUGUGUGUUAUUGUGUACUCUAACUGUGUCUCUCACUGAUAUACACUGAACACAUCUUAAUAAAACACAUCAACUCUC
rnacentral:lncRNA from 1 species